rnacentral:rRNA from 1 species
AACGAUGGCGACCGGCGCACGGGUGAGUAACACGUAUCCAACCUGCCGAUAACUCGGGGAUAGCCUUUCGAAAGAAAGAUUAAUAUCCGAUGGUAUAUUUUCUCCGCAUGGUGAGAAUAUUAAAGAAUUUCGGUUAUCGAUGGGGAUGCGUUCCAUUAGUUUGUUGGCGGGGUAACGGCCCACCAAGACCACGAUGGAUAGGGGUUCUGAGAGGAAGGUCCCCCACAUUGGAACUGAGACACGGUCCAA